UGGGGAAUUUUGGACAAUGGGCGAAAGCCUGAUCCGGCAAUGCCGCGUGUGUGAAGAAGGCCUUCGGGUUGUAAAGCACUUUUGUCCGGAAAGAAAUCCUUGGCUCUAAUACAGUCGGGGGAUGACGGUACCGGAAGAAUAAGCACCGGCUAACUACGUGCCAGCAGCCGCGGUAAUACGUAGGGUGCAAGCGUUAAUCGGAAUUACUGGGCGUAAAGCGUGCGCAGGCGGUUUGCUAAGACCGAUGUGAAAUCCCCGGGCUCAACCUGGGAACUGCAUUGGUGACUGGCAGGCUAGAGUAUGGCAGAGGGGGGUAGAAUUCCACGUGUAGCAGUGAAAUGCGUAGAGAUGUGGAGGAAUACCGAUGGCGAAGGCAAUCCCCUGGGCCUGCACUGACGCUCAUGCACGAAAGCGUGGGGAGCAAACAGGAUUAGAUACCCUGGUAGUCCACGCCCUAAACGAUGUCAACUAGUUGUUGGGGAUUCAUUUCCUUAGUAAACGUAGCUAACGCGUGAAGUUGGACCGCCUGGGGAGUACGGUCGCAAGAUUAAAACUUAAAUGAAUUGACGGGGU
rnacentral:rRNA from 1 species